rnacentral:lncRNA from 1 species
CAACAUUUGAGAAAAGAGAGGUAACCAAGUGGGAGCUUUCCAUAACUCUGGCGAAAUUCUUGGUGGCUUUCGACAGAUCCUUUCUCGGUAUAUCCAUUGCCAUUCCUGUGGACGACGGUGCAUGAUCCAGUGUGGCACAAAUCUGAGCUCAACAUCAAGAACACUUCAUUGGUGGUGUUGAAGAAGCUUUGAGUCGGUUUUGGUUUGGUUUUACACUUUGAGAGUUUAUUAUUCCGUAUUGUAGUUUUAAUAAUCUUUUGUAUUCUACACUUUAAACUUUACAAAUGGUAUCAGAGCUUAGGCUAGUGUUAAAAAGUGUUAAAACAACCUGAAAAUCGGAUUGGAAGUCGAAAGGGUUCGAUUUUGUUUGAAAACAAGUUGAGCAGAAAUUUUGAACCCAUUUUCUGGAAAAACUACACAUCUGAUGGACGAAGGAGACCAUCGCCAGACUCUAGACAUCAAGCAAAACAUUUCGGUGCAGUGCGUGUUGGACACACGCCGGCGGUGGAGGUGGCGCGUAAGACCACGCGCAGAGAAUAAGGGCGACGCUUGAGGGUGCAUGAGGAGUUUUCAGCCGGAGGUCAAAAAAGACAGAUUGUUCCUUGAUGAAUUUCUGACCUUCUGGUGGUGUUGGAUUUCAGUUUGGUGCACUGUGGAAGCAGAUACAGUCUCGGGCAGAAAAGUGAAAACGGAGAAACUUUUCCGUUGGUGGCUCGGUGGUGUUUCCUGGUAUUUUAGCAGCUGUUGGAUGACUUAGGGCAGUUACUAGAGGCUUCAAAUCGAUAAAGACUCACAUCUUUCCUUAAAAUAUGAACCAAUAGAUUGGUUCGCUCUGUUUGCGCAUUCUAACACCUUCU